rnacentral:rRNA from 1 species
GACGUAGGGCGCGAGCGUUGUCCGGAUUUAUUGGGCGUAAAGAGCUCGUAGGCGGUUCUGUCGCGUCUCGUCGAAAACUCGGGGCUCAACUCCGAGUCUGCGGUGGUACGGGCAGACUAGAGUGAUGUAGGGGAGACUGGAAUUCCUGGUGUAGCGGUGAAAUGCGCAGAUAUCAGGAGGAACACCGAUGGCGAAGGCGGGUCUCUGGGCCGAUACUGACGCUGAGGAGCGAAAGCAUGGGGGAGCGAACAGG